rnacentral:lncRNA from 1 species
GUCAAAGUAUGUUGGCAAAGGUUGAAAAUAAAACAAACAUGUGGCAAAUUUGCAUUUGUAUUCUACUAAUCAACAAAGGCAGGACGAAAAUAAUGAAGGUCGGUGGCACAUGUUUAAUUUGUGCAAAUUAGGAAUUGGUGUCCAAUUUGCAUUUGAAUUGCAUAGCUCAUUCACUCAUUCACGCAUUUUCUCGCCUAUAAAUAGAGGAGAGAAUUUGCAUCUAUAUACACCAGAUAGAGAGAGUGAGAGCAAUUGUGAGAGAGCAAUUGCGAGAGAGAAAAAUAGUGAGAUUUUUCAAGAAGAAAAAUUAAGCUUAAUUUUUCGGGUAUUCUUAAAUAGAGGGUUGUGAGUGUAUGUAAACACUGUAUUUAUUUUUCUCCUAUAAAA